GGGAACCCCGUGAGAAUCGGGGGCGGUUGCGCCACUGUAACGGGUUACAAAAUCCCAAUGCCACUGGUCUCAGCGAAGACCGGGAAGGCGGGAGUGAGGUCAAGCCCGAAGCCAGGAUACC
rnacentral:misc_RNA from 1 species